rnacentral:rRNA from 1 species
CAGUAGCCGCGGUAAUACGAAGGGGGCUAGCGUUGUUCGGAAUUACUGGGCGUAAAGCGCACGUAGGCGGAUACUUAAGUCAGGGGUGAAAUCCCGGGGCUCAACCCCGGAACUGCCUUUGAUACUGGGUAUCUCGAGUCCGGAAGAGGUGAGUGGAAUUCCGAGUGUAGAGGUGAAAUUCGUAGAUAUUCGCAGGAACACCAGUGGCGAAGGCGGCUAACUGGUCCAUAACUGACGCUGAGGUGCGAAAGCGUGGGGAGCAAACAGGAUUAGAUACCCGCGUAGUCCCUGUCUCUUAUAC